AUACCGGGCCUUUUUGGGCUUGGUAAUUGGAAUGAGGGAGAGUCAAACGGACCAUCGAGUAUCCAUUGGAGGGCAAGUCUGGUGCCAGCAGCUGCGGUAAUACCAGCUCCAAUAGCGUAUAUUAAAGUUGUUGCAGUUAGAAAGCUCAUAGUUGGACUUGUGUGCGCUGUCCGCGGGUGGCCUGCGCCCAAAAGGGCGUUUCGGUUCGGCCCCGGUGGCGCCUUGAAAUCUGCAGCUGGGGGGACGUUGGCCUUAACUGGUCGGCGACCGCACGCCGGCUGCUCGGUUACUGUGAGAAAAUUAGAGUGUUCAAGGCAGGCAUUGGGUGCGAUUGAAUACAUUAGCAUGGAAUAAUAAAAUAUGGCUCCUGCCGUAUUUUGUUGGUUUUGACUGGUGGGAGUAAUGAUUGAUAGGGACGGUUGGGGGUGCUAGUAUUGAGCGGCCAGAGGUGAAAUUCAUGGAUUCGCUCAAGACUAACUUAUGCGAAAGCAUUCACCAAGGACGUCCUCUUUAAUCAAGAACGAAAGUUGGGGGAUCGAAGACGAUCAGAUACCGUCGUAGUCUCAACCAUAAACUAUGUCGACUUGGGAUCGGCGGUAGUUUUUUCAUUAAGACACUGUCGGGACCACGGGAGAAAUCAAAGUGUCUGGACUCUGGGGGAAGUAUGGUCGCAAGGCUGAAACUUGAAGGAAUUGACGGAAGGGCACCACCAGGAGUGGAGCCUGCGGCUUAAUUUGACACAACACGGGGAAACUUACCAGGUCCAGAGAUGUAGAGGAUUGACAGAUUGAAGCUCUUUCUUGAUCACUUCGGUGGUGGUGCAUGGCCGUUCUUAGUUGGUGGAGUGAUUUGUCUGGUUAAUUCCGUUAACGAACGAGACCUCAGCCUGCUAGUGUAGUCGGCUGGAUUGCCUUUGGCGAUCCGUGAUUUCGACUUCUUAGAGGGACAAUCGACGCGCAGUCGAUGGAAGUUUGAGGCAAUAACAGGUCUGUGAUGCCCUUAGAUGUUCUGGGCCGCACGCGCGCUACACUGCUGGGCUCAGCGAGUUUUACUUGCCGAGAGGCCCGGUUAAUCUUGUGAAAUCCCAGCGUGCUUGGGCUCGCCUCCUGCAACUGGAGGCGCCAACGAGGAAUUCCUAGUAGACGCAGGCCAUCAACCUGCAUCGAUUACGUCCCUGCCCUUUGUACACACCGCCCGUCGUUCCAUAAGAGUGAGGCAUCCGGUGAAUUCUCGGGAGAGCCUGGGCGUGGCCAGCAAUGGUCUGCUCGGGUUUGAACUUGCAUAAACUUGGUGCCUAUGAUUAGGG
rnacentral:rRNA from 1 species